AUUGAACGCUGGCGGCAUGCCUUACACAUGCAAGUCGAACGGCAGCAUGGAGAGCUUGCUCUCUGAUGGCGAGUGGCGAACGGGUGAGUAAAGCAUCGGAACGUACCGUGUAGUGGGGGAUAACGUAGCGAAAGUUACGCUAAUACCGCAUACGCACUGAGGUGGAAAGCAGGGGAUCGUAAGACCUUGCGCUAUACGAGCGGCCGAUGUCAGGUUAGCUAGUUGGUAGGGUAAAGGCCUACCAAGGCGACGAUCUGGAGCGGGUCUGAGAGGAUGAUCCGCCACACUGGGACUGAGACCCGGCCCAGACUCCUACGUGAGGCAGCAGUGGGGAAUUUUGGACAAUGGGGGCAACCCUGAUCCAGCCAUGCCGCGUGAGUGAAGAAGGCCUUCGGGUUGUAAAGCUCUUUCGGCCGGGAAGAAAUCGCACAGGCUAAUACCCUGUGUGGAUGACGGUACCGGCAUAAGAAGCACCGGCUAACUACGUGCCAGCCGCCGCGGUAA
rnacentral:rRNA from 1 species